rnacentral:rRNA from 1 species
AUUGAACGCUGGCGGCAUGCUUUACACAUGCAAGUCGAACGGUAACAGGUUAAGCUGACGAGUGGCGAACGGGUGAGUAAUGCAUCGGAACGUGCCCGGUCGUGGGGGAUGACGCAGCGAAAGCUGCGCUAAUACCGCAUACGAUCUGAGGAUGAAAGCGGGGGACCGUAAGGCCUCGCGCGAUCGGAGCGGCCGAUGUCAGAUUAGGUAGUUGGUGGGGUAAAGGCUCACCAAGCCGACGAUCUGUAGCUGGUCUGAGAGGACGACCAGCCACACUGGGACUGAGGCACGGCCCAGACUCCUACGGGAGGCAGCAGUGGGGAAUUCUGGACAAUGGGCGCAAGCCUGAUCCAGCAAUGCCGCGUGCAGGAAGAAGGCCUUCGGGUUGUAAACUGCUUUUGUACGGAGCGAAAAGGCUCUCUCUAAUACAGGGGGCUCAUGACGGUACCGUAAGAAUAAGCACCGGCUAACUACGUGCCAGCCGCCGCCGUAA